rnacentral:rRNA from 1 species
UACGUAGGGGGGCAAGCGUUGUCCGGAAUCAUUGGGCGUAAAGAGCGCGUAGGCGGUCCGGUAAGUCCGCUCUGAAAGUCCGGGGCUCAACCCCGGGAGGCGGGCGGAUACUGUCGGGCUAGAGUCCGGAAGAGGAGUGUGGAAUUCCUGGUGUAGCGGUGAAAUGCGCAGAUAUCAGGAGGAACACCAAUGGCGAAGGCAGCACUCUGGGACGUGACUGACGCUGAGACGCGAAAGCGUGGGGAGCAAAUGGGG